rnacentral:rRNA from 1 species
ACAUCCAAGGAAGGCAGCAGGCGCGCAAAUUACCCACUCCCGGCACGGGGAGGUAGUGACGAAAAAUAACAAUACGGGACUCUUUUGAGACCCCGUAAUUGGAAUGAGUACACUCUAAAUCCUUUAACGAGGAUCUAUUGGAGGGCAAGUCUGGUGCCAGCAGCCGCGGUAAUUCCAGCUCCAAUAGCGUAUAUUAAAGUUGUUGCGGUUAAAAAGCUCGUAGUUGGAUCUCAGUUCCAGACGGGCGGUCCUCCUAACGGUGGUUACUGCCUGGCCUGAACAGCCAGCCGGUUUCCCUAGAUGAUCUUCACCGGUUGUCUUGGGUGACCGGCACGUUUACUUUGAAAAAAUUAGAGUGCUCAAAGCAGGCGUGUAGCCUGAAUAAUGGUGCAUGGAAUAAUGGAAUARGACUUCGUUUCUAUUUUGUUGGUUUUCGGAACMCGAGGUAAUGAUUAAGAGGGACAGACGGGGGCAUUCGUAUUGCUACGCUAGAGGUGAAAUUCUUGGACCGUCGCAAGACGAACUACUGC